UACGGAGGAUCCAAGCGUUAUCCGGAAUCAUUGGGUUUAAAGGGUCCGUAGGCGGUUUAAUAAGUCAGUGGUGAAAUCUGGUCGCUCAACGAUCAAACGGCCAUUGAUACUGUUAGACUUGAAUUAUUGGGAAGUAACUAGAAUAUGUAGUGUAGCGGUGAAAUGCUUAGAUAUUACAUGGAAUACCAAUUGCGAAGGCAGGUUACUACCAGUGGAUUGACGCUGAUGGACGAAAGCGUGGGGAGCGAACAGG
rnacentral:rRNA from 1 species